GUAGCUUCCUUGUCGUGUGGCCUCAGUCCUUCGCCGUCCCUCGCCGUCCUUCGCCAUCGCACGCCACCGCACCCCAUCUCUCGAAAUCUGCAGACAUCUUGAUUUUUCCCACGCUGUCUGUCAGGUCUCCGCCGCCACUCGACGCCAGGGCGCCGGGCCUUGUGGGCUGUGCUGCACCUCGGACGGCUUCGCACCAGCCAGCGCCCUCUCUCUCCUGCAGCACUCUGAUCUGCACCCCCUGAGGGGCUUCCACUGUCCGCGGGGUGAGAAUGCCCCUGGGAGUGUCACAUGACUGCCGCCCCAUGUGUGUGAGAGGCGUCCUCUGGGAGAGCAUGGAUCCUGAGGUCCCAGGAUUGUCAGCUGACCUCUGUCCUGUGUGCCCAGUGGCCCCAGGUGACGUGUCUUCAAGAAGAGGCUGAGCUGCGGUGCUUGUAAGGCAGGGUCUCAUUCUGUCACCCAGGCUGGAGUGCAGUGGUGCAAUGAUGGCUCACUGCAGCCUCGACCUGGGCUCAAGUGAUCCUCCACCUCAGCUUCCUGAGUAGCUGGGACCACAGAGUCAUGUGCUGUUCCUGGGGCUUGGAUGAUGUAGGGGAAGCAAGGUGAAAGUGGUAUCCCGUGGUUCCACGUUCUGUCCUGCUGUGGGGCUGUCCCUCACAUGCUUUCAGUGGCUGUUGCAGAGGAAGAGCCUCCGGAAAUCUGCGUGGGUAAAGUCUCAGCCUUAGAUCCAAGGACAGUCCAAGGAAGUCCUAAGACCAUGGAGUUGGUGAUCUAGGAUCUGGGUUUGCUGAUAUUUCUCACCGUGAAUCUCUUGGUGGUGUUUGUGGGCACGAGAGGGGCAGAGAAUGGAGAGUGAGGCUACCACAUGAAGCGUCACCAGAGCUGCUCCCUGCUGCCUGCUCAGAGCACCCCGGAUCCACUGUUCAAUCUGCACAAGAUUCGGGGUCCAGACAUGGGAGACUUCAGCUGCCUCAGAGGACCGUGGACAGGGAAGGCCAGCCUCGCAUCCCUCUGUCCAUGCCUGGAAUGACUUUAAUAACCAAGAGUUUUAUUUUUGAAUUUGUAGCUGUCGUUCACUUUUUACCCACCCAUUCAAUAAACCUUACAGAAUUGC
rnacentral:sRNA from 1 species